UGACAACGCAGCUAGAUGAGGCCGGCCUGAUGCACAAACAGUCUCCUAGCCUGAUUGAGGAGCUGUGUAUCCCAGCACCCACUGAUCCCUUCAGUGGUCACCCCUGCCUCAUGUUCAGUCCGAAUGGCUGAAGCACAGAAAGUUGGUUUUCACAAACCAGAAAGAGGCUUGGAAGCCGUCUCUAAUCCUUAACUCAAGCAGAAGGCAACCAAUUAACAACACGGCCUAAGUCUGACUACCAGGUCUAUAUAUAGAAUGUCAAAUUACUAUUUGUACCACAUAAAGAAAGAAAUAGGAACCCGGGAAAGGAGCAAUUAUGGUCUGGAUUAGAGAAAUCCCUCAAAAUACCAAGGAACCCCACCCCAAAAAGCAAGCUCCUUUUUCAUCCUCUAUAUCUUGUUCCUUUGCCAACCAAUAUCUAUUUUCAUCUCAAAACCUCUCCUUAUCCCAGUCUAUCUCUGAGGGUCACUGCCCCCCUACAUCCAUCCUGGAGGUAGAGGGAUGAGUUUGUUCUCAGAGAAAGAUCAUAAACUAUGAGGGUAAUGUGGGAAACCCUGAAGAGUUCACAGAGGGACAGAGAGAGGACGGGAAAGGGGGAAACAGGCCAGGUGGACAUACACAAAGGAGUGUCAAGAAAAAUGGUUGUUGAGGCUAUCUGAGGUUACAGGACCCUGGAUGCCUUCCAGCUGUGCCAUUUGAAUAAGUUGGGGUAAAUGGAACUCUGAGGUGCCCCCCAGGGGAGAAAGAGUAUGUGGCAGGUGAAGAUUACAAGCUUGAAAGCUCACAGAGAAAACAAGAACUUGGGAUGAACUAGCAGGGUAAAGGCCUGGAAACCUGUAAGGAGAAAGAAGAGAGAAUAAGAUAAUCCAAGCCGAAGAAGGUGGCCCAUGGCCCAGACCAAAAAAGAUGGCGCCCAUUGCCAGUUCUACUGAGAAGAGUGCCCCCCACCUUGAAACCAGAAAAUGGAGUUGAGUGUGCAUUAGGGUAGAUGGGAGAUGACUGGAAAUCACAGCAUGGGCCUCAACUUCUCAAGCAAGCAAAGGCGUGGCUACUGCCUAGUUGGGACAGCGGAAGGGGACAGCUAAAGAACUGGUGUGUUUCCUAACACCCCAGACAGAAGAGAAUAGAGGCAGAAGAGUGGAGUUUUAGUGUCAUAGGUAAGUGACAGCGAUUAUAUGAGGAAUGAAAGUGAGCUGAGUUGGAAAAGAAAUGCAUUUAAAAGCCUGGAAGCACCCUCUCUCUCCCUUCCUUUCUCUCCCCACCCUCCUCCCCUCCCUCCUCACACUGGCCCAAAAUGAGGCCGCAGUCCAAUCAGGCUUCCUAAUAUCCAAUAAGAUCAGCAGUGCAUAGGCCGUUCCGAGGGCCUCGAGUCCUAGACUCAAGGCUUAAUGAGUCACCUGCUCGAUAUUUUCCACUUCAGGCCCUUGGCUUUCUGGGACCUUAGACCACUCAGCUGCAAAAUUAACUUACGGGAUCGCGCCAUUCGGCAGAUGCCACGGAGCAGAGCAGCAGGUCCAGAGUCUGCAGGAUCUGAGGACCACUGGGAACAUCCAA
rnacentral:lncRNA from 1 species